GACGAACGCUGGCGGCGUGCUUAACACAUGCAAGUCGAACGGAAAGGCCCUGCUUUUGUGGGGUGCUCGCGUGGCGCGCGGGUGAGUAACCCGUGAGUCACCUGCGCUGGACUUUGGGACAACUUCAGGCAACUGGGGCUAAUACCGGAUAGGAGCUGCUGAUGGAUGGGGGGGGUUGGACAGUUUAGGCGGAUGGGGAUGGAGUUGCGGCUUAUCAGCUUGUUGGGGGGGGAGUGGUUUACCAAGGGGUCGACGGGUGGUCGGCCUUAGAGGGUGGCCAGCCUCAUGAGUACUGCGGUAGGGCCCAGACUCCUACGUGGGGCAGUAGUGGGGAAUAUUGCACAAUCGGCGGAAGCCUGAUGCAACAACGCCGCGUGCGGGAUGACGGCCUUCUGGGUGUAAACCGCUUUCACCUGUGACGAUGCGGGAGUGACGUUAAUAAGUAAAGAAGCACCGGCUAACUACGUG
rnacentral:rRNA from 1 species